UGCGGAGGACCCGAGCGUUAUCCGGAUUUAUUGGGUUUAAAGGGAGCGUAGGUGGAUUGUUAAGUCAGUUGUGAAAGUUUGCGGCUCAACCGUAAAAUUGCAGUUGAAACUGGCAGUCUUGAGUACAGUAGAGGUGGGCGGAAUUCGUGGUGUAGCGGUGAAAUGCUUAGAUAUCACGAAGAACUCCGAUUGCGAAGGCAGCUCACUAGACUGCAACUGACACUGAUGCUCGAAAGUGUGGGUAUCAAACAGG
rnacentral:rRNA from 1 species